UCCAGACUCCUACGGGAGGCAGCAGUGGGGGAUAUUGCACAAUGGGGGAACCCUGAUGCAGCGACGCCGCGUGGGUGAAGAGGCGCCUCGGCGCGUAAAGCCCUGUCAGCAGGGAAGAAAAUGACGGUACCUGAAGAAGAAGCCCCGGCUGACUACGUGCCAGCAGCCGCGGUAAUACGUAGGGGGCAAGCGUUAUCCGGAUUUACUGGGUGUAAAGGGGGCGCAGACGGCGAUGCAAGCCAGGAGUGAAAGCCCGGGGCCCAACCCCGGGACUGCUCUUGGAACUGCGUGGCUGGAGUGCAGGAGGGGCAGGCGGAAUUCCUGGUGUAGCGGUGAAAUGCGUAGAUAUACGGAGGAACACCAGUGGCGAAGGCGGAUUGCUGGACAGUAACUGACGCUGAGGCGCGAAAGCGUGGGGAGCAAACAGGAUUAGAUACCCCAGUAUAG
rnacentral:rRNA from 1 species